UAUAAGUGCACACCACCAUGCCUGGGUAAUCUUUUGUAGAGAUAGGGUUUCUCCAUGUUGCCCAGGCUAGGACUGGCACUCGAUUGUAAAGCUCCUCGGGCACUGUUUUGUCAUGAGACUGAAUGGAAUGAUUUUUGUAGUCUUCUAAGUCUCCUGUGGAGAGCUUUUCUGUUUCUCAUUUGCAUCAUGCUCUUUCGCUAUUCGUGACAUUUCGCACUUCUGCCCUUUCCUUUUCUCUCAUGGACUCGAUGAAUGAACACUGAAUCGGAAAUGUGAAGCCCAAGGGUCAGAGGAAUGCAGCCUUUAAAGAGUACAGAUUCCAAAUAGACAAAGCAAAAUGGAGCUUCCUCAACACCUCCAAGUCUGAUGUUGGUGGAGGGGAAGCAAAAGAGAGAACCGACGCAGGGGUCGCCAGGCCUCUCCCGGGAGCCAUCAGGCCACCUCCAGUGCACCGAGUCCCUGCCUGGCCCACCUUGCCAGGGGAAGCCUGCUGAGGCACAAAGCAUACGAAGCUUUUGGUUGACAAAAACGGAAACCAGGAGUCUCCAUGGAGUACUCCUCAGGGACUGCAGCUGGAAAGUCAAGACAAAGAUGUGUGCUGGAGAAUAGUAAAAAAUGCAUACAAAUUCUCCAAGCACCAGGAGAGUGCCUCUUUCUUUAGCAGCCUGGAAUCAUCUAUGCCUGGAAACAUCAAUGUCUUCUGGCCAGACAAAGGCCAAGGAGUGAAAGGCGCUAUGCCCAGCAAGAAAAACUUACAAGUGGUGAAAGUGCCUGUGCAGGGAGGGGGUCAGGGGCUGGGUCAGAAUGUCCAAACCUCAGCAUCGUUACAGGAGGUUCAAAGUGCCUUUUCCUCUGACUCAGAAGCACCUGGUAUUAAAGAAUUCCAUGCUGCAGAGGCUAUGCUCCACGCAAGAGCUAGAACAGCAUUUUAGGGUGGAAACUAAAUGGAAUGGAGGCGCAAAUGCUGUUGAGGAGACAGUUGCCCUGGGCCAGGUCCUAGCCUCACCUUCCAGCUGCAAGAAGUUGCUUGAGCUUUCUACGCUUCUGCACCCUCAUCUAUAAAGUGAACAGAAUGACAGUGCCCCAUAAUGACAGCUUUGAUAAGGAUUAAAUGAAAUUAAGUAUGUAAAAUGUUUAAUACAGUGCCUAGUAAAUUCUUAAUAAAUAAAUGGAUGACAGUGAA
rnacentral:lncRNA from 1 species